rnacentral:tRNA from 1 species
GGACUAUGGCUCAGUGGUAGAGAAUCUGCCUGGCGCGCUCAAGGUCUCAGGUUCAAUCCCUGACAUCUCCA